ACGACCUUACUUGAACAGGAUCUGUUCUAUAGGCUCGUACAUCUGUAUCCUUGAUUGCUAAGGAGAUAGGACCCCAAGUCUGGUGGAUGAAACACAGCCUCAUGAUCAGAGCGUGAUUAACAAUUCUGGUGCCGGAAGGCUCUCAGAGCAGUAGAGGAUCGUUCUCCACCACCGUUCAGGUGGCUGGAGAUGGUCAUGCGGCUUUCUGACAGACC